AUAUUAAGGUAUAAAGUUACCUUUAUAAUCAAAUAAUCAGUCUUUUUAAAUAUUUAGAAUUUGAAGCCAGAUGACCAAGAUGCCUUAGAUGAGCAUAAGUCCUCUCCAACAGAAUAUGCUUCAUUAUAUCCUCAUCCAACAGGCUUUAUGUAUCAAUAGUGAACGGCAUAUUAUCAGAAUCCACAGUACUUUGAAUUACCAUCGUGCCAAGAUUUCUGACUGCUUUGCUACCCAGUCACAAUUUUCCUUGAAAGCAGACAUUGUUCAUCCACCUUGAAAUGGCCAUUCAUCAACCAAGCAGGUGGUUGUUGUCAAUAGGGAGCUCUUCAAAGGGCAUUGCCCAUGUGACAGUGGGAUCCAGUAAUUCCUGAGGUGGUUCCAGACUACAUGCUAGAAAAUUCCCUACUACCUGCUCUUGAACAGGAUGAGCAACUCCUUGCACUUCCCUGGUUUGUGAUGAAGAAAUAAACAAUACCCAGUUCCUGCCCUGGAGAAGCUCAUUGCAUAGAAAAAGGAAAAAGGCAGAUAUACAUGCCACAGUACAGUGCCGAGACAACAUAAAUCACAAGCAACCAAGUACAAAGGUAAGAUAUCUAAUUUGAAAUUUUAUAUUCUGUUUCUAUUGCUUCUUGCUGUUGUGAUUAGCCGUCUCUAUAUGUGUUAAACGCAACACCCUAGGGGUAACACGGACUAGAGUACCAGAACUUACAUUCCAAUUUUUCUUCCAAUAGUGGCUGUUAACCAAGUAUUGGUGAAUAUCAUAUAUGAAGAUUCUGCUAAAAGUAAAGCCACCCUGACUGCGAUGCAUGGAUGAUACAAUUUACUGGGUCUAGGAAAGAGAAAGAAAGUGUGUGUUUUCUAAU